rnacentral:rRNA from 1 species
GACGUAGGGGGCCAGCGUUGCUCGGAAUUACUGGGUGUAAAGGGUUCGUAGGCGGUGCGGCAAGUUGGGAGUGAAAUCGUCUGGGCUCAACCCAGAGGCUGCUUCCAAAACUGCUGUGCUUGAGUGUGGGAGAGGCGCGUGGAAUUGCAGGUGUAGCGGUGAAAUGCGUAGAUAUCUGCAGGAACACCCGUGGCGAAAGCGGCGCGCUGGACCACAACUGACGCUGAGGAACGAAAGCUAGGGGAGCAAACAGG